AUAUAUAUCUUUCAAAGAUUCACUAAAAAGACAGUUGGCGGGUCUCUUUGUAUGUCUUGUCCGGAAAGAGGAGGACUUAAUGAUUAUUCGUUCGCCGGAACCAGAAGUAAAAAUUGUUGUGGAUAGGGAUCCUGUAAAAACAUCUUUUGAGGAAUGGGCCAGACCCGGCCAUUUCUCAAGAACACUAGCUAAGGGCCCUGAUACUACCACUUGGAUCUGGAACCUACAUGCUGAUGCUCACGAUUUCGAUAGUCAUACUGGUGAUUUGGAGGAGAUUUCUCGAAAAGUCUUUAGUGCUCAUUUCGGGCAACUUUCCAUUAUCUUUCUUUGGUUGAGUGGCAUGUACUUUCAUGGCGCCCGUUUUUCCAAUUAUGAAGCAUGGCUAAGUGAUCCUACU
rnacentral:rRNA from 1 species